AGAGAGAUGAUUGUAUCUGGCAGAAGAAAUUUCUAAGCAGCAAAACAUUCAAGACUUGGCUUGGCUGCUUCUAACAGUGUAUGCUCAUAUGCAGGAACAAAGGGAUUAUCUGAAACUGAAAUUUAUAUUCAAAAAAGAAGCAGAGUGGGGGAGAGGCCAAGAUGGCCGAGUAGAAACAGCUCCGGUCUGCUGCUCCCACAGUGACAAACGUGAUUUCUGCAUUUCCAGCUGAGGUUCCCAGAUUCUCUCAUUGAGACUGACUAGGUGGUGGGUGCGGCCCACGGAGAGCAAGGAAAAGCAGGACACGGAGACCGUUCACCCAGGAGCUGCAUGGGGCAAAGGGAUCGCCCUCCCCCAGCCGAGCGGGCAGUGAGAGGUUGCGCUACCCGCCCAGAGAACUACGCUUUCCCCAGGGAUUUUUGCAAUCAGCAGAUCAGGAGAUUCGCUCCUGUUCCCACACCACCAGGACCCUGGGUUCCGACCAUAAAGCUGUGCAGGCGACGGCAGCCGUAAGGCUUCCAGGAGCCGUCCUGGCAGCCCAUCAAGACUGGCUGCUGGUGUGGUGCUGACCUAGAGGGCUUCUCCCAG